rnacentral:rRNA from 1 species
UACGAAGGGGGCUAGCGUUGAUCGGAAUCACUGGGCGUAAAGCGCACGUAGGCGGCUUUCUAAGUCAGGGGUGAAAUCCUGGAGCUCAACUCCAGAACUGCCUUUGAUACUGGAGAGCUUGAGUCCGGAAGAGGUGAGUGGAACUCCGAGUGUAGAGGUGAAAUUCGUAGAUAUUCGGAAGAACACCAGUGGCGAAGGCGGCUCACUGGUCCGGUACUGACGCUGAUGUGCGAAAGCGUGGGGAGCAAACAGG